rnacentral:rRNA from 1 species
GUGGCAUGCGGGCGCAGCCUGAUCCAGCAAUGCCGCGUGUGUGAAGAAGGUCUUCGGAUUGUAAAGCACUUUCGGCGGGGACGAUGAUGACGGUACCCGCAGAAGAAGCCCCGGCUAACUUCGUGCCAGCAGCCGCGGUAAUACGAAGGGGGCUAGCGUUGCUCGGAAUGACUGGGCGUAAAGGGCGCGUAGGCGGAUGACAUAGUCGGGCGUGAAAUUCCUGGGCUCAACCUGGGGACUGCGUUCGAGACGUGUUGUCUUGAGUUCGGAAGAGGGUCGUGGAAUUCCCAGUGUAGAGGUGAAAUUCGUAGAUAUUGGGAAGAACACCGGUGGCGAAGGCGGCGACCUGGUCCGAUACUGACGCUGAGGCGCGAAAGCGUGGGGAGCAAACAGGAUUAGAUACCCUGGUAGUCCACGCUGUAAACGAUGUGCGCUGGAUGUUGGGUGACCUAGUCACUCAGUGUCGUAGCUAACGCGAUAAGCGCACCGCCUGGGGAGUACGGCCGCAAGG